rnacentral:rRNA from 1 species
GAUGAACGCUGGCGGCGUGCCUAAUACAUGCAAGUCGAGCGAACGGACGAGAAGCUUGCUUCUCUGAUGUUAGCGGCGGACGGGUGAGUAACACGUGGAUAACCUACCUAUAAGACUGGGAUAACUUCGGGAAACCGUAGCUAAUACCGGAUAAUAUUGUAAACCGCAUGGUUCAAAAGUGAAAGACGGUCUUGCUGUCCCUUAUAGAUGGAUCCCCGCUUCAUUAGCUAGUUGGUAAGGUAACGGCUUCCCAAGGCAACGAUGCAUAGCCGACCUGGGAGGGUGGCCGGCCACACUGGAAUGGAAACACGGCCCAGACUCCUACGGGAGGCACAAGUAGGGAAUUUUCCGAAAUGGGCGAAAGCCUGCCGGAGAACCGCGGCGGGAGUAAUGAAGGUCUUCGGAUCGUAAAACUCUGUUAUUAGGGAAGACCAUAUGUGUAAGUAACUGUGCACAUCUUGACGGUACCUAACCAGAAAGCCACGGCUAACUACGUG